UUUUUUUUUUUGGUUUGGGAGGGUGAUUGAUGGAGUAGGUUUGGAAUUCAUGCCAAUUUUAGGAUUUUUUAGACGAUUCUGAAUCGUUAGAUUUUACUGAUGUUAGACCUAACAGUCCGUAUAAAAAGGAUACAAAAGUAUUUUCAAUGUUUAUUUUAUUAUUAUUAUAAAAGUACACUGUCAUCUCAUUGUCGACGUUGACCGGUGACUUUGCCGGCAAGACUCCGGUCAUCGACCGGUGACGUUUCGGUGAGGCCCCUGUCACAGCCAAAUGAUUUUCCGGCAAACUCCAGUCACCGUUCAAUCACUUUUCUGGCGAGUCUCCUACGACUUUUCCGCUGUAAAUUUAUAGCCGGUUAUAUUUUUUUAAUACUACUUGUAAUUACGUUUUAAAAAAAUAUAAUUGAUUAUAAUCUCUACUUAUAACUAGUUAAUAUAUAAUCGAUUAUAAUCUCUAUUUAUAAUUAGUUAAUAUAUAACUGGUUAUAAAAAAAUAUAAUUAGUUAUAAAAAAUGAUUAAUUAUAAUUAUGACUGAUUAUAAUCAAUACUCGAAUAACUUGGUUGCAAGUAAUUUUCUACAACGAUUGAUCUUGGGUGAAAAUCUUUAAAUCGAUCUCCUACAACGAUUCGCCAGAAUCAGUAUCCCUUUCGUCACAAAUUCUGAAAAUUCUAAAACUCAUCUGCUUGGGUUUAAGUGAUUGAUGAACUCAAUUAAACCACAAGACAAAAAUAAAGAAGAAAAAUGAUUUUAAUAAGAAAAAAAAAAGAAAAGAAAAAAGUGAAGGGUUCUGAGAAAGAUUUGACGUGUUGACAAGAAGCAACAUUGCUGGAGUAGUAUUAAUGUAUUAUUAUUAUUAUUAUUAGGGGUUCCCUUCUUUAAGCCAAACUCCAGAUAUAUAUACCACUGGGCCCCACUCCUCCCCCCUCUCUUUUCCUCGACCAGUCAAUCAACCUAUAUUUUUAUUUUAUUUUUAUUCUACAUAUUUAUUCUUGACAUGACUUGACCCGGCCGGCUCGAUCGUAAUUUUACUUUGAAUUAUUCGGUCUAUUGAUUUGGUCUGUAAAAAAAAUCAUCUCGUCUGUUGUUACUGAAUCAGUAAAGUUUAUAAAUAGCAUUCGAAUAAUCUAUAUGAGGAUGGUUGUUCAUGAUGAGACCACGCAGGUGCUAGAUACCUUCGAGGAAAUGCGGUUGUGGAAAGACAUGAAAUAUGGGUGCAUGAUAUGUGGUAUGACUUAUGAGCGAGUAAUCUUUGAUCACAAUUGUCAAUGAAUCGAAUUCACUCAAUUGUUUGAUGUGUGUAUCCUUGAGUAGACUUUUUUUUAGGUUUGCAGAUGUUGAGACGUGGUGGCUCACGAGCUUGCUGAUCGAUCAGAAUGUGUAGUAGCUCUUAUUUUUCGAGAUACAUUUCCGGAUUGGUGUGAAGUUUAUGUAUCAUUUGGAUGAUUUUUCUUGUAAAUUGGAUAUUUUGAAGCAGAAUUAUGCAUUAUCUGGAAAUGUAGUAUUCUUGAGGUACACAACAUUUGAAGAGUAAAAAUUAUCUUGUUUGACUAACGCAAAACAUUGAGUUAUGCGCUUUGAAUUGAGUUAUUUCAAAUAUCAUCCUCAUGCCCAAAUAUUUAAAAUAACUAGAUUCGAAUUAUUUCAAAUACCAUAAUUUAAAAUAUCAUAAUUUUAAUUUUGCAUAACAAACAAAAUAAUUAUUAAAAUCAAAAUACAUCAUUCAAAUAUCUCGUAUUCAAACUCCUCAUUGUUUUGUCUAUAUUUGAAACAUGACAAUAAUUGAUGUUGAUUUAGGGAGAAAAAGGAAGUUGUAACCUACAACUCUCUAGCUUCCUGCAGUGGAAUUAUUAUUCCAGCAGGAUUUUGUUCUGUGUGCACUGGUGCAGAUAGAUAGAGAGAUAAUUAUGGAACUUUAAUGAUGGUCUGAUCGGACAUGAAAAUAAGCCAGAAACAGUAGUUGACAAGUGACUAAACCCUAAAAUUCCCUUUACCCCAUUGAUCAUUAUUUUGCCAUAUCAAGUCUCCUGGAUUCUCUUUUCUUGCCAGUUGCCUAAUCUGGAGGAUCAUCACUCUGCCCUUAUGGUAUUCAAUUUUAAUAAUUUAACAAAAUGGGACCAAACUCAGCCAAAAAAAACAUCAACUAAAAAGGACCACUGUACCCUCUCUUUAGCCAGAAAGCAAAACUACAUGGGAAAGCAACCACCGGCCAGACCGCCAGCUUCCAGGUCCAGUUACGCUUUUUUAUUCGGAGAUAUCAGGUUAGGAUGAUAUAUUUUGUAGAAAAUUACGAAAGCUGAGGAAUUACAUAAGAAAACACACAACUUCUUUUAAAUUUGGUAAGGUUCCGGGUUCGUUCAAUGCACAAAGCUGCUUGGCCGCUACGUGACGAGGCACAACGAAUUCGUUUGUGGGAUGGGUCGAAUGGCUAUCGACAGAUUUGGAUAAAAUUUCCAAUAUCAAGUAAACUAAAACCUGGUCUGGUUUGGUCUUUUAGAUAUCAAACUGAACCAUCCGAUAUUGAACUUUUUGUUAGAUUCGUUUCGUCGGUUAAAUACAUGCCUCUAAAAUCCUCAUGGUUUAAAUAUUAUUGAACCGUUGGAACUACCUCAUAAUCUAAUUUUUGGGGGUUCAUGAUACAAUGAUACAAUUCAAAAAGUGACUCGUGCGACAAUUGAUGAAUGACUUACGAAUAUGAUGAAAUACGAGUUGAAUAUAUAUUAAUAUCGAAAAAUAGCUGAUAUAUGUAUAGAAAUAAUGUGACUAUAAACAAAUUUAGAGACCGACUGAAUCUCUAACCCUUAAACCUCUCAUUCAUCAGGUCGGAUAUCUAGUCCUAACUGCAUUGUGUUUUGGUUUAGUUAACUAUUGAGUUUUACAAAAACCAGAUAGUAGAUGUGACUAGUGAAAAUCACAAUAAGUAGGCAAUUGGAACCCACAAUAACCAUUUUAUUCAGGACACAUAAUAUAAAAGUUCAACAUUUCAACACGAACAUACUUUAUCGUUGUGUAUAAUAUAUAGAAAAAGUUCGAUCUCUCAAACAACACACAUAGGUUGGACUGUUGCACGUAGCAGGUCGUGCAAUUAUGGUUUGCGAGGGAUUUCAGUCGGGGUAACGAAGAUGGGUGGAUCGCAGCAAUCUUUACAUAUUGUGGCUUCAUUUGGGUCGUAUUCACAGCACGAGAGACAGUGGAUAUCGGCAUCGCAAGACAGCCUUUCCCUCGGCUCUGCUACCAUCACUGCGGCUCCUCCGCCUCCAUGGCUGCCGGGUUGGACGACGGCCCUAGCUGAUGCUGGGAUUAUCAGUAUGGGGAGAAGAACGAUGAGGAAGAAAGAAACCUUCAAAUUCAUUUUCCACAGAAGUUACUGAAUUAUUAUUCACCGUCCUAAAUUAACGUUUUAAAAUAUGGAAAUUAUAUUAUUACCCUUUUGAUCAUAAAAAUUUGAAACGAAUUCCCAUUGAAACCGAAAACACCAAUUCAAUCUUUUUGCCGAUAAUAAUUGUGGUAACAAUUGUCGACGCCGGCGUACAAACGAUGGCCACGGUGCCGGUGCCGUACACCAACGCAGGCGAUUGUUAUCACAACUGUUUUUCUUCAAAUAAGUUAUAAUAGCAUUGCACUAUAAUCCAUUGCUUAACCUAUAAACAUGGUCGACUGUGUUUAUAAAGUAAAAAAGAUGGAACUGAAUUUUUUUUUCUAAUAUGAUUUUGAUAGUUGAUUAUCAGCGAUGAAGGUUGAGAUCGACAGAUGAUUGUUGAAAACUUGAAUAACAAUGAUAAUCAAGGAAUGAUCAACGGAUAAUCGACGACCUCAUAGGUGAUAUGUUCAGAAAAUAAAAUUUAAAAUUUGUGGGUUCGAUAAAAGAGUUUAUGACAUUUAUAAUAACUAAAGCGUUUUAAAAAAAAAAAAUAGGACAAUGAAUAACAACUCCCAAAGUUAAUUAAUUGAGAGCUUAAUUAGUUACUUGUUAUGGUCUUAGCAGGAUGUAGAUGGCCAAUUUAUAGUGGGCCAAAAUGAGAACCCAAUUGUGCGUUAUGGUCGGCCCUUUAUUGUUUAAUUUGGGGUAUUGGGCUUUCCGUUUGUCUUUGUUGGGCCUAUCGAUAUGUCCUCUGGAAUCCUUAUGGUUUUAUGCCGGAUGAUAUCUAAGCACUGAGCACCUUCCGCUUUGUGAUUGUGUGGAGAUUGAUUCCCCAUUUCGGUAAAAUACUAGUCGGUGGUCAGGCUGUUGACAAAUUAAACCGUUCGAAAUUUGAGAAUAAAUCAAUAGAAAAAGCAUACAAGUUUGUUUGAAACCUAUCGGAAUAUUGAAUGAGUCAUCUUUUUCGUAUUUGGCUCAAUAUUAAACUAGUUGAUAUUGAAUCAACCCUGCCUCGGUUCGAAUAGUGAGCCGCUCGAUAAUUAAUAGCUCACAAAUCAGCUCAACUAUUGACUCGCAAGCUGCUUGAUCAUUUUUACUUGCGAGCCUGAUUUUCGACCGGGUCGAAAAUUGGUGUAAGUGUCAUAAUUGCCAAAACAAAUUACUGUAACGGUGAAGUAAAAAUAUUUACUUUACUGAGAUCGUCGGACGAAAGCUAAAAGCUUUGGGAUUUCUGGUAACUCCUGCUAAAAAGCCUGGUCUUUUUUCUCAAUUCGUUGAACUGUUCUAACUCCAAAAAGGCUGGGCAUUUUUGCAAGUUCCUAAAUUCUUAUCCGCUGUUAUCCGGAUUCUGAAAAUUCACACUGAAAUGAGCCAAUCCAGCAACUGAGAAGAAUGGAGAUGUCUGUGAUGGCGAAUACGCAAAUGGGUCUUCCUCAUCCCGAAACAAGCUGUAGCUGUAGGUGGAUUACAGAUUCUCCCUAUGGGUUUCUGAAUUCCCGGCAACCCUUUUUCUCCGUUCCUGCAAGCAUCAAAAGUAGGAACAAAUUUGGGCGUAUGAGGAUUAAGGCGGAGAAGGAAGAAUUAGGGUUCAAGCCGUCUUUUGGAGAGUACUUGAAAGUUAUGGAGCGUGUGAAAACUGGCCGAGAGAAGAAGCUAACGGAUAAUUUGAAGGGAGAUGGAGAAAAUGGAAACAUUGACAGGUUGACAGGAUUUGGUGGUCAAGACAAGGCACCUAAGUCCAGCUUCAGACCAAAUGAUAAGCUUCCUGGCAGCGAGGGAGGUGAUUUUCCGGAAGCUGUUGUUAAUGGUGGUAAGUUUGUUCAUGAAAGAAACAUGAUUAGAAGAGGGAAUGAUGUAUCUAGCACCAUUCGUUUUGAUGCUAAUGUACAGAGUAGGAUAGGAGGGAGAGCAAUGGAUGAAAAACCGUUAGGUGGUCGAAAUUCUAGAAUGAAUCGAGAGUUAGGGAAUUCGAACAUAGUGAAGGUUGAUAAGAUGGAGAAUGUUGGUGAUGCUAUGGUCAAUCGCAGCAGUAUCGAAGCUAGAGAGAGCAAAAGGGAAAGCUCGACUGGAGCUUGGGUAAGAAAAAAGAAUGUCUUGGAUAAUGUGGGGGGAAUCUCUGUUGUAGUUGGUGAUGUUAAGGUCAAUGGCAGCAGUAUCACGAUUAAGGAGCGAGAUAGUGACAGGGAAAGCUCGACUGGAGCUUGGGUAAGAAAAAGGAAGGAAGUUGGUGUUAGACCAGAAGAAGCAACGAGUUACAGACCUGUGGCGAAUUUCCUCCAGGUUAAAGAGAUUAUUACUCCAAGUGAAACUAUGCAGAAAAAUGGGAUGCUGCGUGAAAAGAAGUGGCUUCACCGUAAAAACGUUGGAGAUAGUGAUUCGAAAGCGGACAGAGCGGCCUUCAAAACAUUGGAGGAUUCGGAGUAUGUUGUCCGAAGGAUACCGGCUUCCAAACGAGAAGUGGAAGAUAGGAUCCAGAAGCUAGCGACUUGGUUUGUGGUUCAUCCCUUCAUUCUCCUGCAUACAUAUUUGAGAUUUAUCCUUUUUACUCCUGUGGUUAACAAAGUUAUAUGAUUUCUUGUGAACAGUUUAAAUGGCGCAGACAUAGAUGUGCCAGAGUGGAUGUUCUCUAAGAUGAUGCGAAGUGCCAAAAUGAAGUAUACCGAUCAUAAUGUUCUGAGGCUCAUUCAGAUAUUAGGUAAACUGGGAAAUUGGAGGCGAGUCUUACAAGUCAUCGAGUGGCUUCAGCUACGUGACCGGUUUAAAUCUCACAACCCGCGGUACAACAUUCGUUCCCCCUCUUUGUCGAAUUCUAAAAAGCUCGAGACAACAAAAAUUCUGGAACGAACAGAAAAUACUUCAUGAAAUGCAAAAAAAAUAUGUUAACCUAUCCAUUCUUUUGUUCCAUGCAUAGAUGAUGUCGGCGAAUUGAAGUUUGAUGCUGAUCCUGACAAUUCCUUUGUAUCUUAUUAUGAUGCAGGUUUAUCUAUACAACUGCCCUUCAUGUACUUGGAAAGGCAAGAAGGCCUGUAGAGGCACUAAAUCUGUUUUAUGUAAUGCAGGUAAUUCAUAACUUGGCUGAUAUGUAGACCUUUCAAUCUAGGAUAUAUAUCACUAAAACAAGACGUUUUACUUUUGUCUGGUCCAGAAACGUGUAGCUACCUAUCCUGACUUGGUAGCUUAUCAUUCGAUAGCCGUCACUCUUGGGCAAGCAGGCUAUAUGAAAGAACUUUUUGAUGUUAUUGACAGCAUGCAGUCUCUUCCUCCUAAGAAGAAGAACAAAGAAGGGUUUCUUGAGACUUGGGACCCCAGGUUAGAACCUGAUGUGGUCGUUUACAAUGCGGUCAGUAGUCCUCAACCGAUUUUUAUCCAGAGUUUAGACAAAAUACAAAUGUCUAACUUCAUAUCUCCUGUCCUUUUUCAGGUGCUCAACGCCUGUGUCCGGAGAAAACAAUGGGAAGGUGCAUUUUGGGUUUUGCAGCAGUUGAAGGAACAAAAGCAAAAACCUUCCACUGCAACAUAUGGGCUAGUAAUGGAGGUCAUGUUUGUCUGCGAGAAGUACAACUUGGUUCAUGAGUUUUUCCGGAAACUGCAGAAAUCUUCUAUUCCUGAUGCUUUAGCGUAUCGAGGUAUGACAGUCUGCCAUCAUCUCUCCUGUUUCCGAAAUGAUUUGGUAUGACUGUGAGAUGUAAGUGAAUUUCUUGCACACAGUUGUUGUGAAUACUCUGUCGAAAGAAGGCAAGCCAGAUGAAGCUGUUUUGGCCGUUCAAGAGAUGGAAAGCCGAGGAAUCGUGGGUUCUGCUGCCCUUUAUUACGAUCUUUCUCGCUGUCUUUGUAGUGCCGGAAGGUGUGAAGAAGCUUUAUCUCAGGUAAUACUCGAACAUCCUGAGAGUUUUCUCUUGAAAAGAAAUAUCAAGUAGCUAACUAGAUCAUUUUUUAUCAUGCAAACGUAUCGGUAAAUGCAAAUUUCUAUGGAUGAUUGUAAUGUCGGUUAAUAAUCUAUGAUCUUGCGACCAAGAAAACAAUUUCUGCAUGGUAAUGACUUGAUACUUUCAAUUUGACAGGUUGACAAAAUAUGUAGAGUGGCCAAUAAGCCUCUGGUAGUAACUUACACCGGACUAAUACAAGCAUGCCUGGAAGCUGGACGAACCGAAGAUGCAUCGUACAUCUUUAGCCACAUGAAGCAGUUCUGCUCCCCGAAUCUUGUCACUUGCAACAUAAUGCUCAAAGGUUAUCUGGACCAUGGACGGUUUGAAGAAGCGAGGUCGCUCUUCGACAAGAUGUUAGACGACAGCAAGCAGAUCGGCAGUAGAUUAGAUGAUGACACGGUCGGAGUAGUUCCCGAUAUCUACUCCUUCAACACGAUGUUAGAGGCUUGUGUUGCAGAGCAGAGGUGGGAUGAUUUUGGGCAUGUGUAUGAAAUGAUGUUGCACCAUGGACACCACUUCAAUGCAAGGCGUCACGUUCGCUUGGUCUUGGAAGCUGCCAGAGGUGGAAAGGUAUGUCAUUUUGCAGAUCUUUCUUUUAGGUUUUUUCCUGAUGUUUGUUUCUGUCUAAUGGGAUCUCCCAAUUUCCCGUAACAGGAGGAAGUGGUGGAAAUAACAUGGAAACACUUGGCUCGGGUCGGUUGGGUUCCUCCGCCUCCAAUCAUCAAGGAAAGAUUCUGCCAAAUGCUCGAGAAAUGCGACUGCGAUUCUGCUCUGGAAUGUGUUGCUUCUGCUGCGACGAAUCACGAGGAGAGUCCAGCAUUCAACAAAACUGGGUGGUUGAAUCUGUUGAAAGAUAAUUCUCACAGGUUCAGUAGGGAAACCGUUAUUGAGCUUUUGCACAAGGCCAAAUUGUUAGUUUCUGAAAACAAUGGUGUUGUUGUUGCUAAUACUCCCUUGGAUACUCUGGUGACAGCUUGUGACCAUUUUUUAAGGACAAGCAUGAAUAAAUAAACCUCUGCCAACACUGAAAUCUUUGAUCUUUGUUAGCACUGAACUGAAAAUCCAAGUUCCAUUGGUAGGAAACGGAUGGGCCACCCAACAUUCCUUCCUUAAUCCACUCCACGGGCCCAAGAAUGAAAGCAGUCCAAACUUGACACAUACUUACUCAUGAUAGUAUUUCCUAGCUUUGAUCAGACAACUCGAUUCGAUCUUAAAUUUUUAAAUCGAUAGGAGUAAUACGGUUUCAAUUGAGCCUUUAACUCUCGAACCUUUCACUCAUUUGUUCAACGUCGGGUUUAGUUUUUGACGACUUGGGUAUAUUCCUAGCCCCAUGUUAGUAACGCAAGUCUUGAUUUAAUAACCAACGUACUGAUUUUUUGGGGUAUUUUCAAAAUUAGGAUUGUGUGACAUGGGAUGAUGCCAUAAUGGAGCAUCUAAGUGAGUCUUCAUGGGGUACAAACCCAGUCCAUUUUUAAGGUAAAACUUGAGUAAUUUGUAUCUUUAGAUUAUAAGAAAAUAGUAAUGAUAAUAAUUUGUACCUUUAAUAUGAAGGAAAUGAAAUAAAAUAUGUACCCAGUUGGGUAGUUGAGUUUUGUAAUGGUCGUUGGUGCUGGAAAACAACCUACAAACAAUAACAACAGCAACCAGGUGUUGGUUGCAAUGUUGCUAACACAACCACGAUUGGGCCCAGGCCCUGACCGACACAGUUAUGUGGGCCCAUUUCAUUCACCCCCCCACCAACGUCCAACGUUGGUGUUGUUGUUGUUGUUAACCUUUUCGAGCAAUAAUAAGUGUACCGGCCGAAUCAGAAGUGGAGUGAAUUAUCAAACUUUUAGGAUUAUCAUUGAUUGAUAGGUUAACUAUAUUAAGUAGUAACGAUGAAACUUUGAAUUGAAAGUUGGUUUAAUUGAAAUAAAGAAACUAGAGGAUAGUCGUACUCAUUGGGUUACAACCAUCUGGUAGAAUUUAUCCUUAAAAGUUAACUUGUAAGAAGAGGAUGUUUAGAAGGUUAUAAACUCACCACUAAAUUCAUACUUAACGAUGUGAUAUUCAAUUAGGCACGUAACACAUUGGCGGAUACAAGAAGUCUACCUAUGCUACGAUCCAUCCCAUUCCAAGUCUAUAACCCCUAAUACCAUGGAGCCGCACCACGAAAACGCCACAAAAUUACGUAUGAUUUAGCACGCAAUAUUGAAUAAGGUGGGAGAGCUGCGACUCCAUUAUUCUGCUUAUAAUGAUUCAUAUAUUAUCCAAUAUUGUUAGCACCAAACCGAACAGUUCAAUGUUGAACGCCUACAAAAUCAAGGGUGAGCGAAUUUGGGCAACUACCCAUUUUUUUUAAAUGCGUCUCAUUAAUGUUAAUAACAAAUAUGAGUUAUAUGAUCACAAAGCCAUUCAGGAGUAAUGAUCCCUGAAAAGGGAGAGGGUAAAAAAGAGAGCGACGAAUUAGCUUGCGGGCUGCUCAAUUUCUACCUCUCCCAAGUCCUAACAAAACCCACCUCACAAAUGGUCUUAAAAGAACAAAAGUGGGCACAAAUACGAGUGAUUCACCCUAUAAUUUGUCCGAAACAUCAUCUUGGUAGUGUUGGAUCGCGUAGCAAACAGCAAGGCAGCCCGUUCCAAAUGUGGCUCGAGAUAGGCCAUUGGUGUGCGUCCGUCUCAUGGCAUGCAAGAGAGCCCGUUCACUAAAGAUAAACAUCGCAACAAGGUGCAUGUCUUGAAACCAAUGACAUGUCAUGUGAAAUUACGAAAGAUAAAACUCAUACCGCAAUAAUUCUUUACAUAUUGAUAAAACUCUACGUAAAAUUAUCAAAAUUGAUAUUCAAUCAAAUGUUUCGCCCACAACACAAUCAAAUUUUACUCAAAUUUACCAUAAUUGAUGGGUGUAGCAUGCUCACUGAAGUCCACAAAGAAAGAUGAGAUUGAAUCUUCCAAGCAAAAGAUCGUAAAAGCGAGUGGCAGCUUUUGGAGUUGGACACUGUUCGUGCUUGGGAACUACCACUGACGUCCAUCGGUAAAGUCACUUUUACAGAUUGGAAUGGUGGUGGGCACAUGCAUGCAAGUAUUCAAAUUUAACGGAGCUCCGUCCAUCCGGCUGCCCAUCCCCACAUGAAUUUCUGCUUUGCCUUUUGCUUUCCCUACACACAGAGACUCUGUACCACCAAUCCGAAGGCAACAGUUUGCACAACGGGUCGUUAAAUGACCCGUCGUUUUCCUUUCUGCAAUGCAGCGUACUAAGGACGAAGAGUUUUUGUGUGUUCUGAGGAUUUUUCGAAUUUUUUUUCGAUAAAAAUUUAUGUUUCCUUUGAGAUAAUAGAUAUUACGGGUGGUUUGUUCAAACUAGCGAAUUUGAGGCUAUAUGUAAUUUAAAAAAAUAAAUUGUUUAAACGAGUGAUUUUAAGUGAUUGAAAAAAAAAUGAGAUUUUUUUAGUAAUUUCAAAUUGCCCCUAAUUUAAAAUGGAUAAAACUGUAAUUAUAACAAACCUAUACAUCAUGACAUUGCUGUAAUUAUUGGAUAAGUAGGAAUUUUUUGGAUAAUAGAAAAAUGAAUUCUUUUAAAAAAAUCCAUUCACAAGCUAGUUAGUGAUUUCAAUGUAAGUUAAAAAUUUAUAAGAUUCAUAUUUAAAAUUAAAAUUUUUUAACAUUCUGCGAUAAUUAAUUAUAAUCCAAACUAUCUAUUUGAGUCAAAUCUCAAACUUACAGCUCAUGAAAAUAUCUCAUCGUUUUCACCUACACCAACAAAGCUACAUUUUACAUUUGAAAUUGUGUUAUGUUCCAUGAAUGAGAAUGUUAAGGAAAUGCUUGAAAGUUUUCUUGGAGUUGUGGUCCUCAAGAAUUUAUAAGAUAUUUGGAUUAUGAACACAUAGGAUUUACAGUGCACCAAAAGCAUCCUAACCUCCAUGCUGCAGUUAGGGAUCUCCAGACUAAAAAUGGACACAAUCAUCACCUCAACUGCAAUUACUGUAUUCAUUAUAAUUUAAAACAAGAAUCUGAGCCUCAAGAUCCAGACAUCCCGAGUAAGUUGUAGCGGUAUAUAAUAAUAAGGAACAAAGACUGUUAUUAUGGUAUGACACAGCUGUAGGAACAUGGUUAGUUUAUUUACCUGAGUUUACUGAACAUGUUAUUUGACAAGAGGAAGGAAUGCAGGUUGGGCAAAUCAUUCUAAGGUCCAAUUUGGUAGGGCUUUUUUUGUUGUUGUCAUCAACGAGGAUGGUCACUAAUUACUUAUAUUAGUAACCACCUUCGAUAACUAAUCAUUCACUAACCAUUUGAAUAUAAUUUUUAAAAAUAUAAGAUUAUCUUAUAUGAUAGGUCAUCAACUAAAUUGAAAAAUCGAUUUGGUUCGAACCACUCAAUAUCUGAAAUCAAAUUACGCCCAAACAAACCAGGUGCCUAAAAGAUGAGGGGAAUAGCCACCUUUCAUAAGGUGAGCCUCGCAACCUCCCUCGAAUAAUCUACCGGCAUGGCCUAAUGAAAGAGAAGACACGCGUCAAAGUAAUCACCCUAACCCUAAAAGGACCGUCGUUAUCCAAAGUACCAAAUCACCCAAAGAAGAUCCAUGGCUAGAGAUGAGACCAUGACAACAAUCACAUCCCAACGGGCUAUAUAACAAACAGAGCUUGCCGACCACCCACUAGACAGACAAAUAGAAGAGGGAACGUAUAUUCUCUUAGUACGUUCUCCAUUCUCAUUUUCCUCCUCCAAAUUUAUCUCUCCACCGCAUCAUGCCUUGAACUUAUUACUGUUUUCUACCUAUGAAUGCGGGGAUUUUUCUACAUACAAACUUGGAUUGAUCUUCCGAUACGAUUGAUGAAGUGUAGUACAACUAUAGAAACUAGAAAUCGUCCUACCUCUAACCCUCGCCCGUCAUUAACUAAGGUCAUCUGUAUAUAGUUGAAUUCACUUAUUGGCCGACUUGGCCCAACCCUAUAAUAAUUCACAAAAAUACAAGAAAUUGACAAGUGUCCGGACAAGAGUGAAAAAGGACCGACGAUCAAAAGGCCGUGGGAGCGUCGGGGGUUUUGAGACCCCCGAGAUAUUUAUUACGACUGAUUGCGUACGUGGCUGCAUGUAGUCGGUGACACCGAGUCAGAGUCCUGCAGUCAAUCCCCACCGUCUGCGCUCAAUCAGUCCUCUCUAUGAUCCUCCGCCAAUUGCAAUCUGACACCUGCCUUCAUUAGCCACCUAAUUACGAAUUUGUAUUUUCGUAAUCUAUUAUUAAUCUCUACUUCCCCUAAACAUUUUCUAAUGUUUCAUAGUUUUUCACGUUUCUUUUCAUUUUGGUAAGAAGAUUUCCACGUUUCUUUUGUACCAUUUAUCAAACGAUGUUAUUUAACAUAACACAACUUCUAGGUUCUCUUAUUUCUCUGUGUCUUUUGGAUUUUCAAACUCUAGUACCAAACGACCCCCUAAUCUUAUCUAACAUUUGUUAGUUUGUUGGUAUAGAGUUGAUAGUUAUGUCGAAGCGCCCUGUCGAGUGAGGCCUCAACUCGACGGCCCUAGGCUCUACGGCACAUCCAACAUCAGCUUUCUCACAUUUAACAACAAGUUCAUUAGUCAUUCCAUCGAGUAAAUUUUGAUAAUGAUUCUUUCACAGGAUUAUAACUUUUUUUUAAUUAUAUAUAUAUAUAUAUAGCUCAACCAUGAAAUGGAUUUUUGUAAAAAAUCAAGAAUUAUCUAAAAAUUCAUUCGAAUUCAAAUUCCAAUUCCAAAUCAUAGGGGUCGUUUGGUCUUUGGAUGACUUAUGUGUGCCAAAAUUAUUUGUUUAGCAUUCAAAAAUAAUUGUAAUUUCUCUGUUGUGAUAUUUUAAAUAACUUGUUAUAUAUGAUAAUUUGGAGCAAAUAACUAAUCACUCAAUAUCUCAAAUAAUUUAGUUACCCAAAAAAAAAAAUUAAACUCUAAUUUUCUUUACACCUCAUAAAUCCCUUAUUUUCAAACAAUUGUAUUGUUUUUCUAAGAAAUACCAUAUAUGAUACAUCAGGACAAAUAUUUAGCUGACCAAACUUAGUAAGUUGCAAGCGGAUUCAGCUAAUGGAUGGAGAAAUACUGAAAAUUUGGAUGGAAAAGGCUCAUUUGUUAAGACAUGCGUAACACUAGGAGAUAUGUCAACAAAUUUAUAGAACGAGGAGUGAUUUGCUAAUGUUACAAAGUAGAGGAGCUAAACUAAACUUUUCUGUUCUCAAGUUCAUACUCCAUACCGACGUGGCUUUCUCCUUUCGGUUUCCUAGUCAACCUCUUAACCUCCCUAAUUUCUUGUACGCAAUUAAGAAUCAAUUGUAUGCAAAAAGUCAAUUUUUUUUAUUAAUAGAAAAUAUUAAUUGCAAAAGAUAAACUAGAGUUGAUGGAGCUAGUACCAUAUUUGAUAAUAAUCAGUAAUUCAUGAUUUAGUUGGCAAAAAUUGAUAUGAUUUAGUUUUAAUUAAUCGAAAUCAUGAGAAAAAGAAUGAUUAUAUGAUCGAGAGAAGGUAAAGAGGUAUGUAAAAAUGGAGAAGAAGCGAUAGUUGCAGCAUGAAUUGAAUGAUACUAAAUUCGAAAUGCUUUAUUUAUAUAAAAACAAAUAACAAUAAUAAGUGACAUAUUUAUUAUCAUUUAGAGUGGUCUAACCCGUCAAAUUAAACGAAUAACACAUAUUAGUAUCUUACUUCAUAUUUAUCAAUAUCUUUUAUGUAGGAAAAAGAUACCUUUUGCCAGACCAUAGGGCAUUUCCAAUGAGCUGCCAAAACGGGCUUAAAACUAACAUUUAUAUCCAAGAGAGAUUAAUCAUGUUUUGUUAUGUAAUUGCGAUCGAAAUAGAUAUAUUUUUUAAGUAGGCGCUCCAUUAUCAAAGAACUUCUUCCAAAUUAUGACAUCCGCUUCUAAAAUUCGUAUUCAGCCAGUUCAUGCACCAUUCUUGAAUAUUUUCGAAUAAAUAUUAUCGAUAUUUCUCACUUUUUAAACAAAUAUUUAGAUUUUACUAUCUAGGUUUAAUAGCAAUGUUAGAAAGAAAGAAAAUAGUAAAUCAAAAUUUUCACCUUUUUUUUUAUUUUAUAUGAUUUUAUUUGCGGACUCCGUCCAACCAAAAAUUAAGAAAUAAAAAAUAAAAAGUUUGCUGCCUCUUGCUCUCUGUGUUUCUUGGGUUUCAUUCUUCUUCAGAGUUUUUCACGUUCCAAAAACGUAUAAUCUGGAGCAAGAAGGAAACAACUCCUCUCUCAGAGCUCCCUCCUCUACGUUUUCUUUCCUUCUAUCUUCGCUACCACUCUCUCUUCUUUCUUUCCACAAAAUUGAUCACCUUCGCCUUAAUUCAUUCAUUCAUUCAUUCUCCCUUCACCUUUGCCGCUUCCAUAAACUUCGCGCCUCUGUUUUUUUCCUUCCCCUUUUUCUCUUAUUCACGCCUUUGAUCUUCGUGGGUUUCUACUCAAUUUCCACAUCCGGCUUUCCUGGGUUUGUCUCGCUAUCUUAUUAUAUAAAUAUUUCCACUUGAUUUCAUUUCUGCUUUGUCUUUGUUUCUCCUUCGUUUGUGAUCUUCAUUCCCACCAAGUUUGUAUGUUCAUCCUUCUUCUUCUUCUUUCCCGCCCUGAUUUUUGUUCGUUUGGUUCCUUUUGAUCUGAACUUUUGGUUUCCCUUUCUGGGUUAGACUCCAACUUUGCUGAGGUAGUGCUAGCAUUUUCAGGUGGUUUUCUGUUGUUUGCUUUGUCUGCCCACCAAGUGUUUGAGCUAACGCGUCUGAAGAAACACUGCAAUUAGAUUUUGUUUUGGUUUCAGUAUGAGUUAAUGUGGGUUUGCAUUCAGUGAGUUGCUUUUUCCGGAUCUUGGUGGUAUUGAUUUCCGACGUUCUGCAAAUUGUUGAUAGCUUUCUAUUAUUUCCAUCAUCUGACAUUUUGCAGACAUGUCCUGACACAAAGCCUGGAAUUCCAUUGUUAUUCUCUUUCUUUCUCUUUGCUUUUUCCUUGUUAAUGUUUGAACCUCGAGCUGGAAAUUUUUCAUUUGACCUUUCCCUUCUGGGUUUGAUACUGUGAUUUCUCUUCUGUGGAUCUGGAAGCGUUUUCCUUUAUUUCACAAUUUGGUUUUCUUUUGUUCAUUUCUCAUUUCCGGUCCCUGUUUCGGUUCAAUGAUUGCUUAGGGGCCCAACUCUCCAUUGGUUUUCAAUUUGCUUGCCAUUUUGCAUUUUGGAAUUAUUCAUUUUCAAAUUUCACACAAAGUUUGCUCAUUUUUUGGUAUUCACGGUGCUGCAGGCUGGAAGAAGCUAAAAGAAGGUGUUUGUGAAAGUGUGUGCCUGUUGAGAAGUUAGGAGUGGUUUGCAACUUCUCCAGAUGCUAAAUUCUGGAAGGACCAGAACUCAGCCUAGAUUAGGUGGGUUGGUUUUCUUCCAUAUUCGCAUUGGUCGUUUUAUUACUCCAUUACCAUACACAGUUGUUAAAAAUUCCAGUUCUUGAUCAUCAUAUCCUGUGAUUCUAAUUGUAGGAAUGGACUACCCAGAUCAUAAAAGGAAGGGAAACUUUGUAGCAAAGGUUGCUUUAGCUGCUAUCUUGACUGCCGUAUGCAUACUUGUGCUUAAUCGAUCCUCGUUUAAUUACACAACCCCGGUAAUCUUUUGUGCCCCUUAGCUUUACUUCACAGCUCUAACUAGAUAAAUAUAUUUUGAUUAAUUUCGCAUUGGUGUCCUGAUUUUAUCAAUUGUGUAUUAUUGUACAGUUCUCUGUACGUGAACCAGGUGUAACUCAUGUCCUAGUGACCGGUGGUGCAGGCUACAUUGGUUCGCAUGCUACAUUACGCCUUCUGAAAGAUGGACACAGGGUGACCAUAGUGGUAUAGCUCAUGUUUUUGGAGUUCUUUUUCCUAUCUUUAUCCCACGUUUAUAUGUCUGCUUGGUAUCUUAGCUUCAGUUAAUCUGUUCUUGUAGGACAACCUUUCACGUGGUAACAAAGGUGCAGUUAAAAUCCUCCAAGAACUGUUUCCAGAGCCCGGGAGGCUUCAAUUUAUAUAUGCAGAUUUGGGAGAUGCAAAAGCUGUAUCCUUUUCUGCUUCCAUUUGUUUUUUGUUUUUUCUCGUUGAAAUUUAGAUUUGGUUGUUGUUUCCUUCACCAAGAAUCCAGGUUAACAAAAUAUUUGCAGAGAAUGCUUUUGAUGCUGUGAUGCAUUUUGCAGCCGUUGCAUAUGUUGGGGAAAGCACUAUGUAUCCUCUCAAGUAAGCAUCAAGAACUGCACACAAGUGCGAUAUAGAUUGUGUUUUCUUUGCCCGUCACUGCUUGCUAAAUAACAUAGUAUAGCUCAGAGGAAAAGGUACCCAGAGGAUGGUUUUCGUUCAAUUUUAGAUGUGUAGGAAGAUCCUGAUUCAAACUUCCACUGGAUUUUGAUUACCAUCCUUGUUUCACCUACUUGCAUUAUCCUAAUCAAUUCCAUUGUACAUCUGGUAUGACUUAAGAGCUGGAAUAGUAUUCUUGAGCUAUAGGUAAAACGUCAUUAGUUUGGCCAAGUCUGCUUGUACAGUUGUAUUAAUUUCCUUGAAGCUUGCAUUUUGAUGUCUCUCCCAAUAGGAAAAUAUUAAACGCAAGACAUUAUGGACCAACUUGUUUUGCAGGUAUUAUCAUAAUAUAACAUCAAAUACCUUGGUGGUUCUGGAGUCAAUGGCCAAGCACGAUGUGAGGACUUUGAUAUAUUCUAGCACAUGCGCUACAUAUGGGGAGCCAGAAAAGAUGCCUAUAACUGAAGAAACGCCUCAGGUAGACUUAAGCUUAACAAUUUGCUUACCUUUUGUUGAAACCUAUACUAGCUAUUUUAACUUCAGUUCUAUGUUUUGAUCUAUCAUCUCAGGUCCCCAUUAAUCCAUAUGGAAAAGCCAAAAAGAUGGCAGAAGACACGAUCCUUGAUUUUUCUAAGACAUCAGACAUGGCAGUUAUGAUUUUGAGGUGUCUUCCCGUUUCUUUCAGAACAUCUAAUUAGCUGUAAAUUGUGCUUUGUUAAUUGUAAUUGCACUGUUAGCUGGCUUCUCCAUAGUUGUUGGUUUUCCUUCAUUCUUUUUAGUGGAAUUUGAUGUCCUCAAAUUAUGGCUUCAGAUACUUCAAUGUGAUCGGAUCAGACCCAGGGGGGAGAUUAGGUGAGGCUCCCAGGCCAGAGCUCCGUGAGCAUGGUCGGAUUUCUGGUGCUUGUUUCGAUGCAGCUCGUGGCAUCAUGCCAGGGUUGAAGGUAUUCAUUGCCCCAUCUUGAUUUCGAAAGCUUCGUUGAUUCCGAAUGCCUCAUCAAUAAAUCGUCCCUAUCUCGUUCAGGUUAAAGGAACAGACUACAAGACACAUGAUGGCACAUGCAUACGAGAUUACAUCGAUGUAACAGACCUUGUGGAUGCUCAUGUGAAGGCCUUGGAAAAGGCCGAGCCUGGCAAAGUGGGAAUCUACAAUGUUGGCACAGGAAAAGGUAAAAGGUCUGAACUUUUUGAUUGAAUGUUAUAUUAAAGUGAAAUGACAAAAACUCUGUUCACCAAAGUCCCCGAAUCUCGAACAAGGUUCGUCUGUACGAUUUAUAUGUCCCGUGGUUUUCAUUCAUCAGGUAGAUCAGUCAAAGAGUUUGUGGAGGCAUGUAAGAAGGCGACCGGAGUGGACAUAAAGGUUGACUAUUUACCUCGUCGCCCCGGUGACUACGCCGAAGUCUACAGUGAUCCGUCAAAGAUAUUGGCCGAACUGAACUGGACAGCGCAGUACACUGACCUGCAAGAGAGUUUGAAGACGGCGUGGAAAUGGCAGAAGGCGCACCGGGACGGGUAUGGAAGUCCUUCAGUGAUGGCUUCUUGAAAAGAAACACAUUGAUUGUAGAGUCAGAGUCUCUGAGAGCAUUGGAUAGCAGAAUUUAACCCGGAGACAAAAGCCACACCCCCUCUGUACACACUACACAGCAGCUCUGCCUUAUCUCUUCUGAUUCUGGUAGGAGAGGGAGGGGGUGUUUGGAGGAGAGGAUUUACUACUACUAUUAUUACUAUUAUUGCUGUUUUUGUCUCAGAAUAAUUCACUUAUAUAGAGGAGGGAGGGAGAUGUAGGAGGUGGCCAAAUUCAUUACUUGUAUGCUGGAAACAAGUAAUAUAUAGUUCAAUAAAAUGAUGACAGAUUCUGAAUUUUCCAGCACAUUCCAUCAGUUACAUGUUACUUUCAUUGUUGCUGAGUUUCAAUGGUAGUUUGCUCGAGGGAUUCGUCGGAUUUAGUGAAAAGCGAGGUGAAAUAGAAGAAGUUUCAGAUAUGUAAGUUAUUUCGUAGCUCAUUUCGUUUAGUGGAACUAAUUUCCAAAGAACAAAUAUCCAAAUGUGCAUUUUCGCUUGAACCAACCAAAUUACCCGACUAGAAGUCGUUUCGAACUGCCAGACAUGGGCAGUUGGGCGGAACGAGCAGUUGUGCUCCAUCACAACUGGGUUUGGUGUCCACAUUUUGUUCAUCCAUCAACACAUAACUCGUAACAUAUUAGUUUUCGAAUUCAGGACUCCAAGUUCCGAAUUCUGCACCGAGUUUUGUCUGUUUAUCAACUAAUAUAUGUUACAGGUUCACUUUCUGGUUUCAGCAGCUGCAACUUGGACGUUUGAUAUGCGUGAGAUUUAAGUGAGUUGUAUUGCGUCGUGCCCUGAUAUCAAAUCGAAACUGAGAUCGCAGACCUCGGAACAACACAGAACAACCGUCGGUCAUUAAGAGAAUCACAACUCAUAUAAUCGAUGAACUAUAACCAUUCAUCAUAUGUAACGAAAUUAAGGAAUGGAGUGAUGGUUAGAAAUAUGACAAUACUAAACACAGCACAAUCCAGUCAGGAACACGAAAGAUCAAAGACACAGUAUCACAACAAGGCGCCAUUGAGAUGAGAAAAUAUACUACUAGUUUUUUCUACUCAAACAUCAUGCAACUGUUUGGACUGCUCUUUCGAAGCUAUCUUCGGCCGAGGUUACACGCUUCAGGAGGACGUGUUCCGGUUCCGAAAGCUUCAACUGGCUGCAACAUAAAGAAUCAUUGCAAUCCAAGUUAGAUAGCCUGAGUUUUAACCUAAGCACCCUAUGGAGUUGACCGAGAGGUAAUGAAACUCAACCAGACGAGCUUACUUGAGAUAACGUGAAGAUGGUUUGCCGAGGUGAAGAUUACAUACAACCAGGUUGGCAAGGGUUUCUGGAUCCUUUCCAUCCUGUCAUGAUCACGAAAACAAGUAAGAAACCGACGUCGAACGAGUCUAUGAAAAGAUAAGGCUAUGAACGAGUCUGAAAGAAAUUAAGAACAUCACAACAAUAUACUCUACAGGAUUAUAGAACGCACGAACUUGCCUUGUUUAGUGCUUCAAGGAGCAAUGCCUCUGCUUCAUCAAAGGUACCCAUGUGCAUGCAACAAACAGCCUUCCCAUUCAAUAUUAAUCCUGUCAUGGGAUAUUUCUCCGAUAAAUCUUGGAAUAUGAGUAGAGCUUCUCGUAUUUUUGAACCGCCCUGUUUGAAUAGAAGGCGAUAUGAAUAAUCGGAUAUUCUUUGACAAAUUAUAAAUCAGUCUAUUUCGGUAAACUGCACGAAAGUACUUACAACAGCCAGAUUCACCCAUGCAUUUGCAAGCUGAGUAAGCGUAUGGUCCUCAUCAAUCUGUUGCAUUACUCUUAGCUGCUUUUCUGCAAAAUCUGUUCUGUGCAUCUUGAUGAAAAUUUGAACAUUCAAUGCAUGCCUGAAAAACCCGGAAUUGAAAUUUGUCAGGAAUUAAGGAUAUUAGAACGAAACCUAGGUAAGAUGCAGUAUCCCUCUAAUGGAUGGAGGGUCGUUAAAAGUUCAUGUCAUUGAUAUAGUCGAAAUAAACCUCCAUAUCGUAUCUGUCUCGUCUACUGUCUUAAUAGAUAGAUAACCAUACAAGAUCAAGAAUAGAAUCUGCCUCGUCUACUGUCUCGGCACAAUAAAUUGAAUAAGAUAAAAACAUUUGACAGCUUCAAAAAACUUACAGUUCCAUGGUUCCUCCAGCAUGAGUGUGCUUCAGAGCCUCAUUAUAGUCCUCUUCAUUCAUGAAUAUGAUCCCAGCAAUGAGCCUCAAAAUGGCAUUAUUUCCAAUAGCUGAAUCAGCUAGCCACUCUUUCAAGCUCACAAUUACAGAUUGCUGCACGCAGGAAUUAGGGAUACAGAGCAUCACCUCUCUUAAUCAUUAUGUAACAUAACAACUAAGAUCCGGUGUUGAAACAAUUAACAAUUGCUAGGCAUCGAUAUGAGAAAUCAGCAAAUUAUGAAACCUACACAUACAACCGUUCAAAUUAAAUGAGCAUUGAAUCAACCUAGACAGGAAUUCUACAGAUCAAGCAGAGGAGAUUCAGAGCACCACAUACAAUGGCCAUACGUAUACAAAUUAGGAACAGACGAAUUGUCUUCCAAUCUGAGCACUCCUGUUACAUCCGAUCUCAAAUCAAAUUUUAUAUCCCGCUUUCUAUAGCUUAAAACGAGAGAAUCCAAAUCGAACACAGAUCUCAGUCCUAAAUUGUCCGAUCUCAGUCCUAAAAGCCAACAAAACAGGCACGAAUCUUACAAGACGAAAAUUGAAACCCUUCCGAACCUUAUUAUCAGAGUUUGAGAGGUAUAAGGCGAGCAACUUGACUGCCUGGAGAGGAGUUGCAGCUCUAUCGUCGAUCUCACUGAUCACGAGCUGGAAUCACACACGCCAACCAAUUCAAUACAGAGAAGCACUUAACAUACUGAAACAGAGAAUUCAUGCAGAGGAAACCAAUACCUGAUGGCUUCGAAGAGCGAUGUAAGAGCGGUGGACGAGGCAGUCCCGCUCAACAGCAUCCUCCGGGGACAGAUUGGUAACGUCGCUGCUGUUGAUCGCAGCCUGGAAUGCUCCCAAGUAGAAAUUGUUGCGUAGAUUGAAGAGGUGAUCGGGUGCCGACGCCAUUGCUUCCCUUUUCCUUUACCAGAUCUGAAACUCCACCUUGUGGAUCAAUGAAAUCUGAUGAGCUCUGGGCUAGAGCGUGAUUUUAGUAGUUUUCAUUUCUUCAUCAACGAACGGGGAAAUAAUUUAUAUGUAGCAAACCAAACCAGGGCGGUCAAACCCAUCUGGUUCGGUUAGAACUUCGAAUAAAUCACUAUUCACUAACCACAUGGACGGACAUGAUUUGGUAAUUUGAAAUGAACGGACAGGAUUCGUAAUUUGAACACUAUCCAACCCCAUUAUAGCAACGGAACCAGAGACUCUUCUUCCAUGUUUUUUCUUUAUAAACCCUAAGAAUUUCGGCUAUUUUUUUAGUUCUCCACAUCCCGUCGAUUAGAUUACAGUCCGACUACUGCGACGGAGAGGGAAGAACCCUAGAUCGCCGUAAACAAUGUCGAUGUCGAAGAGCUCAAAGAUGCUCCAGUACAUCAACUACCGGAUGCGAGUCACCAUUCAGGACGGGCGGCAGCUGGUAGGCAAAUUCAUGGCCUUCGACCGUCACAUGAAUCUCGCCCUCGGCGACUGCGAGGAGUUUCGCAAGCUCCCUCCGGGUAAGGGGAAGAAGAUCAACGAAGAGCGGGAGGACCGUCGCACCCUAGGCUUUGUUCUCCUCCGCGGCGAAGAAGUCGUGUCGAUGACUGUCGAAGGCCCUCCUCCUCCGGAAGAAUCGCGUGCCAAGUCGGUGGGUGCUCAUGCCCUUUCCGGCACCGGCAUCGGUCGCGGGGCCGGCCGUGGGAUUCCGACGGCUCCUCUCGUUCAAGCUCAACCUGGACUCUCCGGACCUGUUCGAGGUGUUGGUGGCCCUGCCCCUGGAACGAUGCAGCCUCAGAUCUCGCGUCCUCCUGUCCCGAAUAUGUCUGCUCCGCCGAUGAAUUAUCCGGUAGGUCAGCAAGCUGGUGGUCCACCGGUUAUACGGCCACCUGGACAGAUGCCUCAGAUGCAGUUCCCUGGACCUCCGAUGGCUCGUGGUCCUCCUCCGCCACAGUUUGCAGGUAGACCGCCGCAGCAGGGGUUUCCUAUGCCUCCUCAGUUUGCUCAGAGACCGAUGGGAAUGCCGCCGCCGAUGAUGAGAGGACCACCUGGUCAACCGAGUCCAGGGAUGCCGCCCAGGGAUGCCUCCUCCUGGUAACAUGUUUGGACCUCCAAGGCCUGGGAUGCCGCCUCCACCCAAUCCUCAGCAGCAGCAAAAUCAACAGCAAUGAUGUGUAAGUUGCAGCCCAGUUCCGUAGGCGUUAUUCAUCAGUAGAAAUGGUUCUUGUUGCUGAGCAUCUUCUACAUUGCAAAUUAGUAUAUUUUGCAGAGUGAUGAACUGAAUUGCAUUUUCUGUAAGAUAUGAUAUCGGAGUUUGUUGAACUAUUUAGCUGGUGAACAGUACAUCUAUGUUCUUCUUGAAAUGCUCACUUACACCCGGUACAAAAGGGGUCAAGCUUUCUGCUAAUGUUCUUCCCCCCCACAAAAACAAAUGUACAUGAGGGAUACUUCUAAGAGUGACAUGUAUAGUCAGAGUGCUAUCUCUUGCGAGAAAAAUAGAUGCCAGAAACAAUAGCCACUCCAGCAGCAACGACACCGAUGGAGGUAUCACGGUCUUCAAUACCGAGACUACUGGUUUUCGGUCUGGAAUUGUCAUGAGUUCUUCUAUCUGCAACUCAGUGGAAGGAAAUUCAUUUUCGAGAUGUUAGUCUCAUGAUAUCUUCAGUUGACUCAUGCAUAUACAAACUUUACUCUACUCGGUAAUUAAGAUCCAACAAACGGUUGUUGAAUGCAAAUCUCAGUUAUAGAAGUAAUAUCGCUCACUGAAACAGGCUGUUGCCAAUGCUUCUUAAUUCCUUGAAGAUGGCCUCUUCCGACAACUGCAACGACCAGCGAAUGCUCACUAGCAACUUUAUGCAACAUGGAUGCCAUGUACCUACGAUCCGGCACAGAGAUUCGUUUAAUAUGCACAAAUCAUACGAGUUUCUCAUAGUUUGGAGAGAACAAAUACUAAACUGAUCUCGCUCAUGCACCAAGGUUUCCAUAAGAGUGGGGUAUGCCUUGCUCAUUUCUCGAAUCGCAAGAGUCAACAUAUCGUCAUCUUCCAUCUCCUUGAGCUGGAAAUCAUCAAAAUAAAAUCAUACUCGUGAGAAACUAGUGACAUUUUACCAGUUAUUUUUCUCAGGACGGUGGAAAGUAUGGAAAAAAAGCAUUAGAACACUUGCCAUUCUCGUCAGCUUCACAGGACGUGGUACGAAGACUGCUCCAAAAGCUAAAGAGUAUACUAGUUUUGCCUUAUGCCGAAGUGGCAUUUUCCGCCAUGUUCUCUGCAAUGUUACCUGUUUAGGUGGGGAACAUCACCGAGGAAUGUUAGUAAAGCUGAGAAGAAACGCAGUAGCAGCCAUAAGGACACUUGAUAUAAGAUCGUAGUAAAAUUAAAUCGAACAACGUUUGGAGAAAAAAGAGGGCCAACACACGAGCUAAGUUGAUCAAUAGUAAAGAACGAAGUCGAUGUCUAACUUAUUUCUUUCAGAGCCGCCGAAAUGUCCAACGAUUAGUAUUUGCUGAAGUUACACCAGCCAUAUACCUCAAUCACAACAGCGCCAUAUUAUAAUUAUAAUCUAAGAGAAAAGGACUGCUAAACCUAUAAAGUCGAGAAGCAUUUUGACCAGGCCAUACCGAAGCAGGUAACAGUGGCGAAGUCACUCAUGCAAAUUUCGUGUAUAUGAAACGACAUAUCGGAGGUACCCCACCUGUACAGGACGAUCUCCAAGUAUCACUUUAGCACCAUAUGCUUUUGCUUCUUCUGAUGCCACACGGAACUCUGAACCCGGAAACACUUCAAGUUUGCUGGCAAUCUGAGAAUGCAACAGUGAAGUUAUGAGGCUUACUUUACAGAUUGACAAGUAGAGAGCUUGUAUGAAAUAGGGAGUAUCUUGCCUUGGCAAGAAACCAGCUAUACAGUAUUCCAAACACGUUAUGUUUCUUCUUCCACUUCUGCAACAUUUCUCCGAAAGUUGGCACCUGUCAGACUUUUAACAUAUCAGCUAACGGCAUCUCCAGAUGCAUAAACAAAACAAGCAAUGGUCACAUAUUACGUUGCAGAUGCACCAAGGUCAUAUGCAUACUAGACAUGUCGAAAACGCUCAAGCAAAAAGUGUGCUACUGAUAAGAAUAAACAGAGGGUGCAAUCAAGAACAUAAUGGAAAAGAAAAGAGGAAAGAAACAUCAGAAAAGGUUAGUUUCAGCACCGUUGAAUCCUGCCGUGUAAGCAAAUCCUUUCGAGCAGAGCACAACUCCAGAAAGACUACCUGUAGAGAAGAGAAGUUAAUCAGCUAGCUAACCCAUCAUCCAAAAAGAGUUUGUUAAAGGGAACUCACCUCCGGUUCCAAGUAACGGAUGACAGCUUCAACUUCUCUGCAAGAUUUCUGCAAAAUAAGCAGGAGAUAUCACAAGGAUGAGAUAAAUGAUACUAUCUAGCAUUUGAAAUUACAGGCAUUAGCUAAUCGGUAAAAAUGAUACUAUCUCAAUUGAAAUCCAUACAGAUUCUGCAGACUGCGAAAGUUAGCGGCAGUAUAUGGAGAAGAAUUAAAAGUUUAAAACCCUAAACCACCUCAGUCUGAUCGAAAUAAAUUUUAUGGAAAUGGAUUCUUGAGAGUUUCCCCCUCCACUUUAUCACACUGAUAACAAUUAAUAACUAUCAAGACAAUAGGAUCGUCAAGAGAAAAAUUCACCUCUGAACCGCGAAUCGUGCCAACCAAGACCACAUUGCAAGAGCCAGUUUCAGCGGUGGACUGACACGUCAGCACGACCGUUCUCGACAGCAAUGUACUUCCUCUCACCGGACUGCUACUCCCGGCGCGUGAGGAUUCCGGCGGCAAGCGAACCUUUCCUUCUGUGGAAUAAGAGUUGCAUGUUCGGGAGGUGGCGGCAUUCUGGUGUGGAAACCGAAUGAAGCGGUGGAAUAGCGGAGGGUUUUGUUUACCGCCGAGGCGUAACUUGUUAGUGACAACCGUGCCGGCGGCAGCGGAGCGGGAUAAAUGGAGCGAGUCAAACGUCGGGACAUGCCGAGUUAACCGAUUCAUAAUGGGGAGCGCUACGAGUUUUCGACUGCAAUAGAAUUCACAACUCCCUGAAAAAUUGAGUUAUUAAAAUAUAAAGGUUUGUGACAUUGUAUCAUAAUUUUUAAAAAUCGAAAAGUCUUUAUUUUAAAUUAUAAUAACUCAUAAUCUAUACACAUGACUUAGAUAAAUUAUGCAAACUUUAACUCUUCUGUAAGUUUUUAUUUGAGGGGUGUGUUAAUGAAUAAAACAAAAAAGCAAUAUGAACACUUUCCCAACAAUUCAAACUAUCGAAAUGCAAUGGCAUGAUAUAAUAGAACUGAGCCUCAACGGGUAUAUGUAUUGCGUAACAAAGAAAUAUAUAGCAUAAGAGAAAUCCAAAUUUUCAUCACAUUCGCUACUACAAGUAUGGAGAUCGAAUAUAAAAUAAAAUACACCAUAUCGGAUGUAAUUUACCAACCUGUGCCAUCGAAUGUCCUCUCCAGUGUUCGCGCCUUCAAUUUCUAGGCCUAGUUUGGUAUAGAGGAAAUUAUGAGGAUUUUGUCAAAACUCAGAGUAACAAACAAACACUUGUUUGUUUAGUUUUAAUUGGCCAGUGUUUUACGAAAACACUUUUCCUCUGACCCCACAUUUCCUCUCAAAUGUGCCUUUUUCAAAUAUAUGGUGUUGAGGAUGUUUUCUUCAAAACUCUGAGUUUUCGUAAACAAUGGAUAUAUAUUGUCAUUAUUACCCCCAACUUCCUUUACGGCUAUAACGACUAUAACANNNNNNNNNNNNNNNNNNNNNNNNNNNNNNNGGGGGGGGAUAAAAGUGAGAUAUUGGUUUGAUUAGCCAAAGCAUGUAAUAUAUUAUUGCAAUUAUGUAAUGCAUAUUUGGAAAAACUAUAUGAUUAGCCAUGACAUAUUAUAAUAUAUGGUUGUAGAUAUGUACAAAUAUUAAUUCUUCUUCCCCGAUAAAUAAAAGGAGUGGUAGGUGUCGGAUUUAUUAUCAUUUAUAUUUAGUAAGAUAUGGUAUGAGUAUGGUACAAUAUUAAUACGUUCAUAGUUUCAUACAUUGUUUCAACAUAGCAAUACGUUUAAAAUUUCGGCAACAAUUAGAAAAUUUUAAAAUUUUAAAAUUAAACGGCUCUACAAUAGUACGAGAACGGAAGUUGUAAACGCAUAUAAUACGUAUAUGUGUAUUAUACGAGUAUUAAACGAAUUUUUGCUAACUAGAAGAUGAUGAGUCUUGGUCUUUUGUCAACAGUCCACCUCCAUCCUCACCCCCAUAGUUUAACUAACGAGCGUCGACGAGAGCCUACUCUCAAUGAUGAUCAAGUUGUGAGCCAAAGCUUGGUAGUCGAAGUGAGAAAUUGGUGCUCAGUAGUUUCUAGAUGAUAACUGAAUGUAUCAGCAUUAGAUAAUAUUGUUCGAGGGAUGCUGAUGCUGUUAAGAUAUCACGAGGGGCCAUGUUGGAGUACGAGAUAUUGACAAUAAUUGGAUGCCCUACUGCUUCAUAUGGUGAGGCUCUCGCUCUUUCUGCGAUCGAUUCCCAUCCGAUGGCCUUUGCGGCAAGGCACCACAAAGAGGAUUGCACGGAGUUUGGUAAGAUUGUAAGAACUUGUUCCUACUUACUACGUCCGUUCGUCUCGUCGCUGGGGACAUUGUUCGGAGAGAGCAGAAUGAGGCACCACAAGUGUUUACUACACUAUCCGGAUUCUUUGCUUCAACAACCAUUGAUGUAGCUUCCAUCAAUUCAGACAUAAAUCAACAAUCCUAAUGAUACUUCAUCGGAUAAAAUCUUCGGCAAUGGCAUCGAAACAAACAGAACCCACCAACAACAAACAAGAAAAAUAAACAGAUGGAAACUUGCAAUGUAUUGAAAACAGGUCUACAAUAACAUGGUUCAUACGAUAUUCCACAAAAACAAAAACAUGAUUCAUAGUUCAGUGCCAUAUUAAGAAAACUAAACACAAAGCUACAAUUUCCAGAAACAAAAACAGUAAACUACGCUGAUAGGGAAAACAACUUAAAUUGCAAAUGUCGCAAAACCUUCAGUUACUUGCUAGCUAAAGAGGGAAUCUCACUUCUUGGAUUUCUUUGAUGCACUGCGAAAGAUAAAUACGAGGGAAAAUUAAAUUUCUAUAGAAGACUCCAUACUCGAAAUUGG
rnacentral:lncRNA from 1 species